rnacentral:lncRNA from 1 species
CCAUCUGAUCCUUGCUCUCCCCUACCAGCCCUUCCCCCACGCCCAGCACAUUACACACACACACACACACACACACACACACACACACACACACACACACACACACACACACACACACACACACACACACACACACACACUGCUUCUCCAACAUACAGUGCCAGAUCUCUCCUGUUAUCCACGGUCCCAAUCUGGCCCAAACAUAACAAUUCAGCCAUGGAUUGUUUAGGAGAGAGAGAGAACCCUGAGGUUCCUGGGCUGGGGGAAUCCCUUUCCAGGGUGGGGAGAGAGAUUCCCUGAGAGCAGAGGGGAGGAGAAAGAGCGACCUCACGGGCCCAGUAGGAGUGGGCAUGCGAGUCUGGGGAAAGGUUUGGCUGCCUGUGAGAUAGAGGGGCAUCCCCAAACAAGAUGUCUGAGGGUGUACUGGGAUUCGAAUGCUCACAAUGACGCUCAUUCUCAUGCCAAUGGACUCAGGAUGUGCUGGACAAUAGAGGCCCUGGGCUGGAUCCCAUGUGGGAAGUAGUGACCUCUUCUUCACGGAAUCCCAGCCAGACUGGUAGGUGGUGAGGAGAGGAUGAGGACAGACAGACAACAGACAGGCAGGCAGGUGGGGGCUGGGGUCAGCAGACAGACAGAAAGGUAAUUUUCACUCACUGAUCCUAAUUCUGUCCUUUGGGACCAAGCAAACUGAGUCUACUCUCUCUCCCACUUGAGAGCCUUCAGAUAUUUGAAACGAUUAUGUCUUCUCUUCUUCAAACAGACAGACAGACACCGGUGAAGAGAGAGAGCCUAGAAACACGCGUGCCCAGCCCGUGGACAAGGUUUCCUUCUGCUCUCACUUCUUGGAGUUUCCCUGGAGGGUUCCUGGACAGACUUGUUUGUGCUCCUUGCCUCACUCCUGGCUCCUCAUACCCUUCUUUAAUAUCAGCUAGGGGCUUCCUAUCAGACUGGGAGCUCCUUGAGGCAGGGACCAUGUCUCUCCCUGCAGAUUCUGGAAAUAAGGGAUCCUUGGGCUUAUCCAACUCCAGUUGGGAAGGAUCCUCAGAGCAAAUAUUUAUAAUGCUCUUGAACAUUUACAAAGAGAUCUUCAGAUCUGACCUUGCCUCCCACCUGCCCAUCAGCUCCAAUCUAAAGGUUAGCCUUCCCAGGUAGAGAGCAUGUCGGGAAGGAAAGCUGUGUUGGGAGGAGCAGUGAUGGAGGCUGGAGGAGGCCAGAGCCAGGUUAGAGUUCCAGAAGAGGAACCAGAACUAUUAAAGGAAUGGAAUGGUUGAGAUGAGAAAACUUCAUAAUUCUGUCCUGAAGAUCACGAAACCUUCAGGGAGGGCUAAGAGGUUAAAAAAAUCUGAGAAAGGAGAACCCCUGUCAUGGCAUCCCCAGAUCUCAGACUGGAAGAGCCCUCAAGGUCAUCUUGUCCAUUCCCCUGCUUCCCUGUGGAAGAAUGUAUUGUAAUGGAAGAUGAAACACCAAAGAAGAGAGAGAAAAGAAGAGAGAGUUUUGGGGGACACAUGCACUUUUCAACCACCAUAGGCAGGGGGUAUUCAUGGGAUCCCAGAUUCAGAGCUAGAAGGGGUCCAUUCUAGCCCCCUCAUUUUAUAGAAGAGUAAACUAAACCAUGUGUCCUAAGAAGAUCCUACUUGGGGACCCAAUAACUGCCACUUCCCUCCAUGGCUUCCCCAGUAGGAAUCUUGUCUAAAUUAAGUCUUUUUUUUUUUGCCACAGAUCAAACCUCUUUUCCUUGAUGAGAAUUCCAGGAGACCUGAAAAAUCUACCCCAGAGAAAGUUUGCCCUUCGGGCACCAGAAAGGAGGAAAGGCACCCCUCAGCUCCCAGUGACCUCAAAUGUGGUUUCAAGGCCAUACAAAUCAAUAUUUAUUUACCCCAAAUCUGCGGUAUUACGUUCAUUUCUGAGCCAAAAAAUUAAAGUAUUUUGUAAAAUUUUAUUAACUUAAGUCUCAAAAUGUUUUUUUU